rnacentral:rRNA from 1 species
AUUGAACGCUGGCGGCAUGCUUUACACAUGCAAGUCGAACGGCAGCGGGGGCUUCGGCCUGCCGGCGAGCGGCGAACGGGUGAGUAAUGCAUCGGAACGUGCCCAAGUCGUGGGGGAUAACGUAUCGAAAGGUACGCUAAUACCGCAUACGUCCUGAGGGGGAAAGCGGGGGAUCUUCGGACCUCGCGCGAUUGGAGCGGCCGAUGUCGGAUUAGCUAGUAGGUGAGGUAAAGGCUCACCUAGGCGACGAUCCGUAGCGGGUCUGAGAGGAUGAGCCGCCACACUGGGACUGGGACACGGCCCAGACUCCUACGGGAGGCAGCAGUGGGGAAUUUUGGACAAUGGGCGCAAGCCUGAUCCAGCCAUGCCGCGUGAGUGAAGAAGGCCUUCGGGUUGUAAAGCUCUUUCGGCCGGGAAGAAAUCGUGUUCUCUAACAUAGGACAUGGAUGACGGUACCGGACUAAGAAGCACCGGCUAACUACGUGCCAGCAGCCGCAGUAAUAC